GACGAACGCUGGCGGCGUGCCUAAUACAUGCAAGUAGAACGCUGAAGGAGGGGCUUGCUUCUCCGGAUGAGUUGCGAACGGGUGAGUAACGCGUAGGUAACCUGCCUGGUAGCGGGGGAUAACUAUUGGAAACGAUAGCUAAUACCGCAUAAGAGUAGAUGUCGCAUGACAUUUGCUUAAAAGGUGCAACUGCACCACUACCAGAUGGACCUGCGUUGUAUUAGCUAGUUGGUGAGGUAACGGCUCACCAAGGCAACGAUACAUAGCCGACCUGAGAGGGUGAUCGGCCACACUGGGACUGAGACACGGCCCAGACUCCUACGGGAGGCAGCAGUAGGGAAUCUUCGGCAAUGGACGGAAGUCUGACCGAGCAACGCCGCGUGAGUGAAGAAGGUUUUCGGAUCGUAAAGCUCUGUUGUAAGAGAAGAACGAGUGUGAGAGUGGAAAGUUCACACUGUGACGGUAUCUUACCAGAAAGGGACGGCUAACUACGU
rnacentral:rRNA from 1 species